UACGUAGGGUGCGAGCGUUAAUCGGAAUUACUGGGCGUAAAGCGUGCGCAGGCGGCUUCGCAAGUCAGGCGUGAAAUCCCCGGGCUUAACCUGGGAAUGGCGUCUGAAACUACGGAGCUGGAGUGUGGCAGAGGGAAGGUAGAAUUCCACGUGUAGCGGUGAAAUGCGUAGAUAUGUGGAGGAAUACCGAUGGCGAAGGCAGCCUCCUGGGCCAACACUGACGCUCAUGCACGAAAGCGUGGGGAGCAAACAGG
rnacentral:rRNA from 1 species